rnacentral:rRNA from 1 species
GGCUCAGAAUCAACGCUGGCGGCGUGCCUAACACAUGCAAGUCGAACGAGAAAGUGGAGCAAUCCAUGAGUACAGUGGCGCACGGGUGAGUAACACGUGACUAACCUACCCUUGAGUGGGGGAUAACUGAGGGAAACCUUAGCUAAUACCGCAUAAUACCUACGGGUCAAAGGAGCAAUUCGCUUUAGGAGGGGGUCGCGGCCGAUUAGUUAGUUGGCGGGGUAAUGGCCCACCAAGACGAUGAUCGGUAUCCGGCCUGAGAGGGCGCACGGACACACUGGAACUGAAACACGGUCCAGACUCCUACGGGAGGCAGCAGUGGGGAAUUUUGCGCAAUGGGGGAGACCCUGACGCAGCAACGCCGCGUGGAGGAUGAAGUCCUUCGGGACGUAAACUCCUUUCGAUCGGGACGAUUAUGACGGUACCGGAAGAAGAAGCCCCGGCUAACUUCGUGCCAGCAGCCGCGGUAAUACGAGGGGGGCGAGCGUUGUUCGGAAUUAUUGGGCGUAAAGGGUGCGUAGGCGGUUUGGUAAGUCUUGUGUGAAAUCUCCAGGCUCAACUUGGAGUCUGCACGAGAAACUGCCGGGCUUGAGUGUGGGAGAGGUGAGUGGAAUUCCUGGUGUAGCGGUGAAAUGCGUAGAUAUCAGGAGGAACACCUGUGGCGAAAGCGGCUCACUGGACCACAACUGACGCUGAUGCACGAAAGCUAGGGGAGCAAACAGGAUUAGAUACCCUGGUAGUCCUAGCCCUAAACGAUGACUGCUUGGUGUGACGGGUACCCAAUCCCGCCGUGCCGUAGCUAACGCGUUAAGCAGUCCGCCUGGGGAGUACGGUCGC